rnacentral:rRNA from 1 species
UACAGAGGGUGCGAGCGUUGUUCGGAAUUACUGGGCGUAAAGCGUUUGUAGGCGGUGCUGAGAGUCCUAGGUGAAAUCCCUGAGCUCAACUCGGGAACUGCCUAGGAGACCUCAGUACUAGAGUACUGAAGGGGUUACUGGAAUUCCAUGUGUAGCGGUGAAAUGCGUAGAUAUAUGGAGGAACACCUGUGGCGAAGGCGGGUAACUGGUCAGAGACUGACGCUGAGAAACGAAAGCGUGGGGAGCAAACAGG